AGUCACGUGACCAAACAGAGGAAGCAGGUAAAACAGGUCAAGAGAGAACUUCACAUAUACAAGCAGCACAUCAGUAAUCAGAUCUCUCCCUUAACCACAACCAUGUUUUGCAAACAUGGCUCUCUUACUUUCACUGUGAGAAAAGAGACGGCCAUGUUGGUUGAGAAUGUUGUGUGCGUGUGUGUUUUUGUCAUAACAGUGAGAGGACGGACCGACAGACGGGUGUAGAGAGAACGGCUGCUGUUUUAAAAAAAGUUUUAACUCGGAGCGAUGCCAAAGAACUGAAAUAAUCCAGAGAGACGCAGUUCUGCUGAGGGAAGCCUCUCGAUGAUGAGAGAGGACAGAGGAGCUGACAGGAGAGCUACAGAUCCACAUUCCUUACAACUGUGCUGAGCAGAAAAGUGUCUUACACAUCAAACCUUGAGGUGGACGAAGGUCAUCAGAAAAACAAUGUCGGGCUCAGAGCCUCACAGAUUUAUCAGUUACUGAUAUGAAAUCUUAUUUGGCAGAAUAAACAUUGAAGAUAAAAAAAUGCA